CGGUAAUCUAAAAGUCUUGGCUUCACUCUUCUAUGGCUACAAUAUUAGGUUCUAUGUUCUUUAAUACACAUAUUACUGUGAUUUCAAGCUUUCAUCUGUUGAAUUAAGGUUUUAAUUUUUUAAAUACACCAGUUUUAUUGAAAUUUGUCCAGGAAUUUUUUCCUUGUCACUCAAGCAGGGCCACUUGAAGAAGAUUGGAAACAGGAUGCCUGGAGGCAGGUUCGGCCUCUGAUUUUUUGUUGUUUGUUUUGCAGCUGUAUUCCAUGUAGCACCCUCAUGUGCUGUGGCCAAAGCGAAGUACAGAGUUCCAGGCAGAGUUCCCACCAGUCCUGGUAUGGGAACCCAAAUUUUGAUGAUUGGAACUAAGAGGGAUAUAAGAAAGCAGCCACAGGGAUGGAAUUUGGAGCUCGAUCAUUUGCCACCAGCUGGUAAGGAGGACCACACUGCAAGUGGUAAGUAAAGCACUGUUCACCUUUGGCACACAGUGGCAAUGCAACUGUUGAACUUUCCCACUGGAGAACUGAGAUGCUAUAGCAAUGGAAAGAAAUCCAUUGGCUGGUAUGAUUUCUCAAGGAUUUGAGAAAUAUGGAUGAAAUAGUAACUACAGUUACAAUGAAAUCAGAUGACUGUUGCUAAGGGGGAAGAAAAGGUAUGAAAAGUUACCAAUCAGUUAAUUGGAAAUUCAAAGCUAAAUGUUAAACUUGGAAGCCUUCCUUCAUAUCAUGUAAAAGGAGUCCUCAUCUCCUGUGGUGAUAGGACAGAAAAGGCUUGGGGACCAGAACUUAAGAGUAGGUGAGCCCAAAAGAAGUUUCAACUAUUAAUACGGGCCAGUUUGCUAUGCCAAGGUCAAGAAGCUGGUUAAGAUGGAAUGGGAUCUUGACAUACAAGAGGGAAACAUCAGGGGGGAUUCUCCUGAAAAUAAUGUAAUCCCAGUUUACUUGGGACCUGUCUAAUGCUCUGGCAAGAGGGAAAAUAGAAUCACGUAGAAAUUCAGGGGUGGUUUUGCUCUGUAUGCCAGGAUUGAUGGUAGGAGAUUCUUCCAUAGAACAACUAUCGGCAAUGGGUGUGACGGGACCACCACAGCAAUAGAGGACAGGACCUAUCACUCAUCAUCAGAAGACUGGUGGUCACAGUUAUCACAAUGAGUGGCGGAAUUGAGUGGCC
rnacentral:lncRNA from 1 species